rnacentral:rRNA from 1 species
CAGUCGCCACGGUAAUACGAAGGGGGCUAGCGUUGUUCGGAUUUACUGGGCGUAAAGGGCGCGUAGGCGGACUGAUAAGUCAGGGGUGAAAUCCCAAGGCUCAACCUUGGAACUGCCUUUGAUACUGUUUGUCUUGAGUUCGAGAGAGGUAAGUGGAACUGCGAGUGUAGAGGUGAAAUUCGCAGAUAUUCGCAAGAACACCAGUGGCGAAGGCGGCUUACUGGCUCGAAACUGACGCUGAGGCGCGAAAGCGUGGGGAGCAAACAGGAUUAGAUACCCGUGUAGUCCCUGUCUCUUAUAA